GAAAAUAUAGAUGGAAAGUAAAGAGGGUUUAGCUUUAAAGUUGCUUCCAAGAAACAUAGUCUUGAUUUAGAUUGUGGUUCAGAUCCUAAACAAGCUUUCAUAUCCGCCCCACUGCAAAUCCUGGAAUCCAUCCUCCAUCUCAAUCUCCAUGCCUGUCCUGACCACAAGCCAAGACUUUCUUUCAUUUCACAGACUAUAAUGUUCUAAUCAAACAGUUCAUUUCUUUUUUUCUUUUUUCGGGGUUAGAAAAGAAGAUCAUCAUACAAUAACAGUUGGGCACUCAAGCAAAAAAUUAAGCAAGCUUAGUACAUAUUCUGCAAAAGAAAAUUUGUUUUGUUUAUGUGAAAAGCAUCGGCCAGUUCAAAUCAAAAUCCCGGCAAUGAGUACAAAUUUCAAUGUCACUUUUCUUUGGUCUCCUUUGAGCUUGCCAACCAAAUGCAUCCAAAGCUUUAAGCAAACACCAUGGGUUUAAUUAUGGAUUCAUUUCAGUGGUGGAAAUAAUUUGAACUGAUAGAUAUUUGCAUGAUUUAUAGCUGGUGGAGGCAAAAUAAAAACAUUUGCAAAGUGAGAUUCCUCAGGAAACAUUAAAGGCAACCAAAAAAGAAAAGAAAAAAAUCUUAAAGCUAUGGGGUACAGGGCAUUGAGGCAGGUAAAAAAUGAUUAUUGACAAAAAUUAGAAAAGUUAAAGGUUGGAAUGGCAAUGAGUUAGGUUUGUGAAUAAAGAUUUGUUAUUGAUUAAAGUAAGAUUACUUUGUCAUUCGGUGAUUUCAGCCUUCAAAUGAAUUUUAUAAUGGAGGUUAAAAUUCAAAAAUUGAGAUUCAUACGAUGAAGUUCAGCAUCUGGGCAUCCUGAAAAUGGAGCCCACACCCUACUUUGAGAAUGGCCCACCCGCCCAUUACCCACUUAUCGAUAUGGUUUGGUGGGCCACCUUAUUUUUGUUUUCCGGAAAACAGAAGCACAAAUGGCUCUCUCUGGGUGUUUGGAUGCAAACUUACACCAACUCCAUCCCCCUCUGGAAUUUAAUUCUUGGCCCAUGUCAUUGAUCAUUAAUUAUGAGAAAAUAGUUUCCAUUUUUAGUUGGAUUACCUUUCACAGUAGGCUGUGUUCUUAGUUACCCAUUAAAGGCCAAAUGGUUUUCUGUAAACGUCCAAAAAAAAAAAAAAAUUUUAUAUGAAAAGAUGGAUUUAGAACAAUCAAACUAUACGUAAACAAAGGAUGAAUGGUUGAAUAGUAGUGGUUACUUGGAACUUUGUCAAAAGGAUUGGAUGCUUGAAAAACAUUCUACUUCUCUGACUGACUCUCUCCGAUUCUUUCUUUUCGGAGCUUUUGGGUCUUCUUUGGCUGUCUCUCCCUACUCCCUAGUCCCUCCCUUCAAACCGCCUUUUUUUAGUCUAAAAAAUAGAACCACUUCUCCAUCUGCUGCUCAUAAUCUCUCUCAAAUAGUCUCUGUUUUUCUCUCUGUAAAUACCAAGAACAGAUCACCAUCAUCAUCAUCGUCAUCAUCAAUGGCGGCAAACAAGUUUGCAACUAUGUUGCAUCGAAACACGAACAAGAUCACGCUUAUUCUCAUCUAUGCUGUUCUCGAAUGGAUUCUGAUCGUCCUUCUUCUUCUCAACUCUCUUUUCUCUUAUCUAAUCGUGAAAUUUGCAGACUACUUCGGCCUCAAGAGACCCUGCCUCUGGUGUUCUAGGCUCGAUCACAUUUUUGAGCCUGAGAAGGGAAAGACUUCUUACAGAGGUCUUGUGUGUGAAACCCACGCUGCGGAGAUUUCGAAACUGGGGUACUGUUCGAAUCAUCGGAAGUUGGCUGAAUUGCAAGAUAUGUGUGAGGAUUGCUCGUCCUCAUCGCGGCCUGAUUAUUGUGAAUUAUCGAAAAAGAUCGCUUUCAUUCCAUGGGUGAAGCAGAUUGGUAUGAUUCAGAGUGAUGGUGAGAAGAUUGUGGAAAAUGGGGAGGUAAAUUUGAGGUGUUCCUGCUGUGAUGUUAGCUUGAACAGCAAAUUCUACUCUCCUUAUUUUCUGAUCAAACCCUCUUGGGGGGUUUUGGAUUAUACUCAGAAAGGGAAUUUGAUAACCGAAACUGGGAUCGACGAUGGCAUUGACGAAGUCGAUAAUUCCGAUAGAAGCAGAUCGGAUUUUGCGGCUGAUCGAUGCGAGGAAGAUGAGGGGACUAAUGGAAACAAGGGAAAUCAGAUACUUUCUGAUGUUGAUGCAAGCUCUGGAACAAGAGAAGAGGAGGCAGAGGAGGAUUGUUCAUAUUCCGUAUCUAAUUUUGGUUGCAGGGAGACGAUGGCUAGUGAAGAUGAUAAAGUGGAGAUGAUCGUAGAGAAAGCGCAAGAACCCAUCAAGGAGGAAGGUACGAAGGAGCAAGGUGGGAAUUUUUGCAUCGAAGAUCCGUUUUGCGAUGGGAACAGUAGUCGAGUUUGCGCCGAGGAAGAUGCAUCUAUUAAUAUUCCGCCUCAGCAUCUUGAGUAUUACGUUGAUCGUGAUGAUUUUCGAUUGGUUCCGGUUGAGUUGAUCGAUUUCACUGCUGCCGAUAUCCAGAAUGGGUACAGAACAGAGGACGUAGGUCAAGCAAACUGGGAUCGCCGAGAAGUCAUACUGGGUUCUGAAUUUGGUGCAGAGGCGCAAAUUGAAUCAAUUAUGGAGAACAAAUGCAGUCAAGGAAAGCCAGUGGCAGUAGAAUUUUGUGCUCAUGAGACUAAGGAGGAACCCGAACUGGAGUUUGCAUUGGUUGAAUCCAUGGAGAUAGAUGAGAAUGAGAAUUCUUCGACUUUACGUGGUGAAGAAGGGGAUUUAGUGUGGGAGGUAUAUCAACCUGUUGCCAUUACUCAAGCAACUCAAACUCCAUUUAAUGAUGUAGUUGAUGUUCAAGAAACUGAUGCAGCGGCCGGAGGAGAAAAGAUUUCAGAAACUAAUCCAGGUAUAUUGAUUUUAUCUUUUUCCAAUUGAUUCUAGUUUUGCUUUUACUCGUAUAUUAAUUUUGGAGUAGAAAUUUUUAGUAAUGUGAGGAUAUAUGCAGCAUCUGUUGAAGUGUUUCGGAUGAGGAUUGAUGAAACUGAAGUAGAGAUCUUGAUAGGGACAGAGAUGCCUGAUCAGGCACCCACAGAUAAGAUUCGAGCUCAAGAAAUUCUUCCUUCAGAUCCUUGCAUCCAGGAAGAUCCAUCGACUAGUUCUGCUAAUUUGUAUGCUGAUGAUGAUCAUUGUAUGCAACUAAUUCUUAUUUUACUGUCUUUAGAAAUUGAUAAGUUGAUAGUUAUUGUGUAUAAUUUGAGUGUUUUCAUCUUAGGUUCUGAGCAAGCUGAGGAAGAAACUUUGGAAUGCAAAACCAUGACAGUUGAGAUAAGUGAGCAAGCAAUAAACACUCAUUUGUUGUGUACAGAGCUUAAUGAAAUUGAGGAUGAAAUUGAGGAAGCUAAAGUACCUAAUUCACCCGCUUCUAUUGAAGGUCUCCUUCACUUGCACACAAAAUUACUUUUCUUAUUUUUCCACAUUUAGAAAUUGAAUUUAUUUGUAUUGAUGUGCGUUUGUCCAUAUUAGGUCCUACGCCAGCCGAGGAAGAAGCAUUACAAUGCAAAACCAUACUUGUUGAGACAAGUGAGCAAGCUAUAGACACUCAUUUCUCAACAUGUUUAGAGCUUAAUGAAAUCGAGGAGGAGAGAGUUCCCGAUACACCCACUUCCAUUGAUGGGCUCAAUCACUUACACAAGAGAUUACUGCUCCUCGAGAAACGAGAAUCAGGAACUGAAGAGUCUUUGGAUGGUAGUGUCAUAAGUGAGUUUGAAGGUGGUGAUGUUGGUCUGACCGUUGAAAAGCUGAAAUCAGCACUGAGGUCUGAACGAAAGGCUUCAAGUGUUUUAUAUGCAGAACUAGAAGAAGAAAGAAGUGCUUCCGCAGUAGCAGCCAAUCAGACUAUGGCAAUGAUAAAUCGACUGCAGGAAGAGAAGGCAGCAAUGCAGAUGGAAGCUUUGCAGUACCAGAGAAUGAUGGAAGAACAAUCUGAAUAUGACCAGGAAGCCUUGCAGCUUUUGAAUGAGCUUAUGAUAAAGAGGGAAAAAGAGAAGCAAGAGCUAGAGAAAGAGCUGGAAAUAUAUCGCAAGAAGGUCUUGGAUUAUGAGGCAAGAGAAAAAAUGAUGUUAAGAAGAAUGAAAGAGGGUAGUGCCAGAAGCAGAACUUCCUCUGCAUCUUGUAGCAAUGCAGAAGAUAGUGAUGGGCUAUCUGUUGAGUUGAAUCAUGAAGAAAAGGAAGAAGAUAGCUUAUAUGGAUUUCGAGAAAGUGGCGACCACAACACCCCUGCUGAUGCAGUUCUAAGUUUGGAGGAAUCUUUGGCUACCUUUGAGGAAGAGAGGCUUUCCAUUCUUGAGCAACUGAAGGUUUUAGAAGAGAAGCUUUUCACGUUGGCUGAUGAGGAGGAACAUGACCCUAACAAUAUGAAGCCAAUUCAGCAUUCCUAUGAAGAGAAUUGCAAAGAUUUUGAUGAGAAUUGUGACCAUAGCCCUGAAGUAAAUGGUCUUGGAAAUGGAUUUUCCAAGGACAUGAAUGGAAAGCAUCACCAAGAGAGAAGAAUCUCAGGACCAAAGGCAAAGAGACUUCUUCCUCUUUUUGAUGCAAUUGUUGCAGAAACUGAAGAUGGGUUAUUGGAUGGAAAUGACAUAGUAUUUGACUCAUUCCUCUUACAAGACUCGUCAGUCACCAAGUUUGAUAUAGAGAGUAAGAAGAAUGCAAUUGAAGAGGAGGUGGAUAAUCUCUAUGAGAGGCUACAAGCUCUUGAGGCAGAUAGGGAAUUUCUAAAGCAUUGCAUAAGCUCCUUGAACAAAGGAGAUAAGGGGAUGGAUCUUCUCCAGGAGAUCUUACAACAUCUUCGUGAUCUGAGGAGUGUGGAACUCCGAGUGAGGAAUUUCAGUGAUGGUGCUCUAGUAUGACUUCAUCCUCAACAAGAGAAUAGGUAAAUGUUAUAUUCCUUGUUCUCCAUAGGGCUACAUUUUCUCCUAGAAUGAAUCUACUAUUCAAUUGUGAUUGCAUUUUUUUCACCGGACUUAUUUCUUAUUUUCAUUAUUAUUACUAUUAUUUUUAUUUUAAUGCAGAUUGGUCUUUUCAAGUUGAUUUAACAGCAGUGAAUUUGGACACGAGCACCCACCACUCUGCAUUGAUGAAAUGAAAAGCUGAUUGUACCCUGAGCCUUCUAAAAAAUCAACAGGAAGUCCCUUGAUGGAGAGGAAGCUCCUGUUAUGGUCUGUUUUGGUGAUAAUGGUGGACCAAGAAAUUGAGGUCUGCCUACUUUUCCUGGUUUUUUUAUCCAAGUAAGCCCAAAUUUUUGUGGGUUGUGCCCAUCACCAACUUUCGAGGGAAAGGUGGUUGAUGAGUGUAUGUGUGUGUAGGCUAGUGAGGUGAAGCCACCCUGUCAUUUGUAUGUCGUUGUGAGAAAAGGUCUGGCUUGCAAAGCUGGAGAGAUCCAACAAAGAUUCCAGUGCCAGGCACAUAGCAUUAGUUUAUCAUAGACAGUUAGAACUAGGAUUUUUUUUUUCUUUCUUUCUUCAUUUUUUAAUUUUUUUUUUUCCUUUUUCAGAGAAGGAAAGAAGGGGUAAGUAACUCCCUUUUUCUUUCUCACCUUUGCAUCAUUUCAUCAUAUGGGGUUUGUUUAUCAUUUGAGGGGCAAAGUUGGAUUACUUGUAUACUAUAUGUAUCCAUUUGUAAGUAUAUAAAGUGAGUGUUUGUUUACACUGGUCUUGGAGUCAGCUUACAUUCUUUUCUUUGUUUCUAAGUUCAUGGGGCAGAUGAUGUACAUAAAUUGGAAUAAAUUAAAACAAUCAGAAGAAGGAAGAAUCAAAAGAUUGCUUUAACAAUGGUUGUUGUAGCUUUAAGCAAUGAAGAAAACUAUAGGUAGGUAAGGACAGACAAAAAUUAGUAAAAUAAGUUGAUCAACAACAACAAUUGUUGGGCAGUCUUACCUGCUAGGAGAAUAGCUCAAUCAUAUAGUUAUGUUGGAUCCCAAAUUGCCUGUGGAGAUCAACUCAUCAUUGUUGUUUGGUUGGAUCAGGAUAAGCUCAUGGUUCAUAUAUUGUUCAUAUUCACUUUGUACUAAUCUCACUGGAGGAUCAUG
rnacentral:lncRNA from 1 species